UGGGGAAUAUUGGGCAAUGGGGCGCAAGCCUGACCCAGCAACGCCGCGUGAAGGAAGAAGGCUUUCGGGUUGUAAACUUCUUUUGUCAGGGACGAGUAGAAGACGGUACCUGACGAAUAAGCCACGGCUAACUACGUGCCAGCAGCCGCGGUAAUACGUAGGUGGCAAGCGUUGUCCGGAUUUACUGGGUGUAAAGGGAGUGUAGGUGGCCAUACAAGUCAGAAGUGAAAGCCCGGGGCUCAACCCCGGGACUGCUUUUGAAACUGUAAGGCUUGAGUGCAGGAGGGGUGAGUGGAAUUCCUAGUGUAGCGGUGAAAUGCGUAGAUAUUAGGAGGAACACCAGUGGCGAAGGCGGCUCACUGGACUGUA
rnacentral:rRNA from 1 species